rnacentral:rRNA from 1 species
AUGCACGCUGGCGGCGUGCCUGAUACAUGCAAGUCGAGCGAACGGACGAGAAGCUUGCUUCUCUGAUGUUAGCGGCGGACGGGUGAGUAACACGUGGAUAACCUACCUAUAAGACUGGGAUAACUUCGGGAAACCGUAGCUAAUACCGGAUAAUAUUUUGAACCGCAUGGUUCAAAAGUGAAAGACGGUCUUGCUGUCACUUAUAGAUGGAUCCGCGCUGCAUUAGCUAGUUGGUAAGGUAACGGCUUACCAAGGCAACGAUGCAUAGCCGACCUGAGAGGGUGAUCGGCCACACUGGAACUGAGACACGGUCCAGACUCCUACGGGAGGCAGCAGUAGGGAAUCUUCCGCAAUGGGCGAAAGCCUGACGGAGCAACGCCGCGUGAGUGAUGAAGGUCUUCGGAUCGUAAAACUCUGUUAUUAGGGAAGAACAUAUGUGUAAGUAACUGUGCACAUCUUGACGGUACCUAAUCAGAAAGCCACGGCUAACUACGUG